ACGGGUGAGUAACGCGUGGGAAUCUACCCAUCUCUACGGAAUAACGCAUGGAAACGUGUGCUAAUACCGUAUACGUCCUUCGGGAGAAAGAUUUAUCGGAGAUGGAUGAGCCCGCGUUGGAUUAGCUAGUUGGUGGGGUAAAGGCCUACCAAGGCGACGAUCCAUAGCUGGUCUGAGAGGAUGAUCAGCCACACUGGGACUGAGACACGGCCCAGACUCCUACGGGAGGCAGCAGUGGGGAAUAUUGGACAAUGGGCGCAAGCCUGAUCCAGCCAUGCCGCGUGAGUGAUGAAGGCCCUAGGGUUGUAAAGCUCUUUCACCGGUGAAGAUAAUGACGGUAACCGGAGAAGAAGCCCCGGCUAACUUCGUGCCAGCAGCCGCGGUAAUACGAAGGGGGCUAGCGUUGUUCGGAUUUACUGGGCGUAAAGCGCACGUAGGCGGACUAUUAAGUCAGGGGUGAAAUCCCGGGGCUCAACCCCGGAACUGUCUUUGAUACUGGUAGUCUUGAGUUCGAGAGAGGUGAGUGGAAUUCCGAGUGUAGAGGUGAAAUUCGUAGA
rnacentral:rRNA from 1 species